AAUUUUGGACAAUGGGGGAAACCCUGAUCCAGCCAUCCCGCGUGUAUGAUGAAGGCCUGCGGGUUGUAAAGUACUUUUGGCAGAGAAGAAAAGGUAUACCCUAAUACGAGAUACUGCUGACGGUAUCUGCAGAAUAAGCACCGGCUAACUACGUGCCAGCAGCCGCGGUAAUACGUAGGGUGCAAGCGUUAAUCGGAAUUACUGGGUGUAAAGCGUGUGUAGGCGAUUCGGAAAAAAAGAUGUGAAAACCCAGGGCUCAACCUUGGAACUGCAUUUUAAACUGCCAGGCUGGAGUAUGUCAGAGGGGGUUAGAAUUCACGUGUAGCAGUGAAAUGCGUAGAUAUGUGGAGGAAUACCGAUGGCGAAGGCAGCCCCCUGGGAUAAUACUGACGCUCAGACACGAAAGCGUGGGGAGCAAACA
rnacentral:rRNA from 1 species